UGCUCACCAUAAUUCAGUGUAGAGCCAAAGGGAAGGGUGAUGGAACAGAGCUCUGUGCUUUGGAAGGAAAUAAAUUUAAACCUGAUCUCCGCACAGAGUCUCACUAACUUCUGUGGUUUUAAAAUACAAAAUACGUUUAGGAAGUGUUGGAAGUUAGUAUUUUGGGAAAGAAACGGCAGUUCCACAGAACAUUCCAUUUCACAGAGGCUCUAGGAAGGAUUCAUGUUGUAACUGCUGUCACUGCAAUCAGUUGGUGGUUCAGCCUUGAAACGUGCACUUGGCCUUCUAUAAAGCGCUGUUUUGUUUGCCUUUCAUUGCUAUGAGUCUUGAUAAAUUGGAGAAGAGCCCAAGAGAAAUUUUUCAUCCCUUGAUAUAAAAGGGAUCGGUGAAUUUUAACUUUGGAGUCCUCUAUGCUAAGGAUGCUCAGCUUACAGAUGAUGAAAUGUUCAGUAAUGGGAAAGACUCUCAUAUCCUCGUCGUCGGGCUCGGUGCUGUCCAAGAAGAUACAGAGACUAAAAAAAUCAUAAGAAGCAAAAUAUGACUGCAGGGAAAAGAAGCUGGAGAGAACAGAAGAAAUGGAAUUGGGACGACGCCUCGGCCAGCCCCUCUCUGCCAUCGUCUCCUGAAUCUGCAGCAGAGCAGUUCCAGUCCAUCCGGGCACGUGCAAUCCAGUUCCUGAUGAUCUGAGCACACGGAGCAGCACUCAGCUGCUGUGGGGGCUCAGGGAAGGCAGAGUGUGCAUUGUCAUCUUCCUGAACCUACAGACGAAUCAAAGUGAGAAGCCACAGGGUGGAAAUCAGUUGCAUAUAUGCUAAACAAAACUUGCAGGUUGUUUUUAAGAAUUGUUUUUGCUUGUUCUUUGUUGUGCUUCUGUGCUUAGAAAACCUCCCUUUAAAAUCAGUUCAGUUCAUCAGUUGAACCUUUGUU